rnacentral:lncRNA from 1 species
GGGGGAACCAGCGGCUCCCUCUCCCCUUCAGCUCCCUGCUCCGGCGUUUCUGAGCCCUGCACCUGAGGGAUUCUGUGUGCAGGAACGCCGGGCACCAGGUGAAACAGCGAGGAGGAAGGCAGAGGGUGGCACAGGGCAGCCGAGCAUCCUCCUGCCCUCCAAGAACGAGCAGAGCACGGAACAGCUCCAGGAUUUCAGCAUCCAGCACCAAGGGCUGGAAGGGAACCCGAGGUCCAGAAGUCUUCCAGAAAACAGUUUUAAAGUUGUUCAAAGGAAGGUGGAAAAGCUGAAAAGUCAAACUCAGGUCUGUGUUUAAUACUAUAAAAUUACAGGGUGGCAUCCUUGAAAUUGAGAAUGCUGAAAUGGCAUUUAAUAGGAAACUGGGGAAACCAGGGAGAAAACUACCUGGGUUUUGUCAGUGCUGGUGUUAAAUACAGGAGCUUUGCAAAUGCUUGUGGACACUGAAAAAAUGCAACAUUAUGUGUUACAUUGAAGGCACUCGUGGGCAAAAUCCCCAGUGCUCUGAGGUAGCCGGGGUUUAGGAGCAGG